AAAAACGGAAAGGGCCAAACACCCCCUCCCCUUCUCUCUUUCCUCUUCCAGCAAACGCUAGCGCCGCCUGUACUUUCCUUUCUUUCGCAUUGCCAAAAAUGACGAACGAUUCAGAGGUCUCAGACCUCAACAGCUUUUUGUGUAUACAAAUGCAUGCAACAAUUCAUGAUUCAACAAUUUCUCACUCAAAAUCGUUCCAAACAUGGUAUAAGUCGCUUUCAUCUUCGAUUUUCCUUUUAGUUUUUGAAUUUAUUAUACGAGUUCUGCAUUUGCUUUUUAUUUUUGUUGUUUUAUUUGUUGUAUUUUAUUCGAUUCUUAUUGGUUGAGAGCAAACGGGCCAGAUCGAGUAGAACCAUACUCAGAUCUGGCCAUGCGUUGUUGAUUCUGGUCGAUUUCAACCGUAGAUCUUCAUUUGUAAGGGUGAUUUGAACGAAACUAGUUCAUCCCACAUCGGUAUUUAUCGGGUUUUUCAUAGCCUUGGGGUUCUUAGAACCCCAACCUUCAAACAAAAACAAGUUUUCAGCACUGGAAAAAUCAAAGAAAGCUAGAAUUUUAAGUUAAAAACUUGAAUUUAAGCAAAGUAUAAUUUUAGACUCAAAAGAAAACCUCUUCAUCUUUUUGAGUCUCUCAGUCAAAAAUUUAUUUACUUUUUCUCCUUUGUUGUGGUUGAGUUUGGGUUGGAAGCACAAGAGGCUUGCGAAUCCAUUCUUGACAAGGGCUGCAUCGAAAAAAGGCCACUUGGGCCGGGGAUACAACCUCCCUAUAGGACAAUUCUUUCAAAGUCUACCAAGUACGAGAAAAAAGGGAAAGCUAAUAUAUAUGUCUAUGAAGGCCCAAUUAUGGGUGAAAAUGGUUAAGGGGCUUGGUACACCCCAAAUUUUAUUUUAUUCUUGUGAUAUUAUAUGUUUAUGUUCAUUUGUAUUUGUAAAACUCACAACAUUAUUGGAAACCAAAUUGAUGGAA